UGCAAGUCAGCUUUAUUAUUGGCUUGGACAAUGCUUCUUUUCCUCAGUGGAGAGAAAAUAGGAAAAUGAUGUUCUCCGAUUUCCAUCUGUCAUGUAUUAUCGCUUAUGUAACAAGAUGGAUGGGUUCCACUAACAUUUGUUCAAAUAUUACUCCUUCCAAGGACGUUUCCUCAGGCUUUUUUCCCUAAUUCCUUUCGGUUUGUG
rnacentral:lncRNA from 1 species